rnacentral:tRNA from 1 species
GGAGGGUUGGCUGAGUGGUCGAAAGCGCCUCACUGCUAACGAGGUAGGGGUUACUCCCUCAUGAGUUCGAAUCUCAUACCCUCCG